CGGGGCGGCUCCGCCUGUCUGCAGGCCGCUGGCUCCGGGGAGCGCGCCUUGGGCGAGCUGCUGCUGGAGUUCUCGAGGGCGCAGUACCGGGCCCGGGAAAGCGGGGGCGCGGCUGGGGGCAGCGGCAGCGCGGGGAGCGGCAGUAGGAACAAGGUAGAGCACAUUGAAAAAUGCUGCCUUGAAUUGUUCAGUAGGGAUUAUUGCUACAACUUGAUCCACAAUGUGAAUGGUGAAAUCUGCAGUCAUUACCCACGUCUGAUUGUCAUUUUGGAAUAUGAGAGCAGUGACCGAGAAAGGCAUACAUUACAUACUUUACUGCCUCACCUCAGUCCUAACACCUAAUUCUGAAGGAGAAGGAUAAUGUAUUGGGCUUUCUUGAACAAAGGCACAUUUGCACAUCUAAAUUAAUUUGCAUUAAUUGUUGUAUGCCGCCCAGAGUCACCUUGUGUGAGAUGG